GGGAUGAUGGUCAUCAGGAACUAUGCUUAUUUUAUGAUUGAAACCUUCUUCUCUUGUUCCUUCUCACCUUCUCAUUCCUACCGGGACUGUUUUGUUUCAGUGGUAACAUCUAGUAGGAUUAUACAAUGUUUAUAAAAUAUAGAUUCAACUGUGGAUGUUUAAGAAUAACUUCCUCUCUCUGGUAUAAUUAUGUAUAAAAUACCUGACAAUGAGUUGCCAGCAAUAACUUAGGUAGGAGUCAUCCUGUUUUAAAGGUCUCUAAAAUCAAAUUUUCUGCCCAGAGAAGUGGUCUCCUUUGGAUUCACUUAGCGUUUUUAUGUCAUAAUUACUCGCAUUGUCAAACUUGAUUAGAUGUAUCAUCACAAUGGGAAGACAAUUCUGGGUACCCGUGAGAGUUUCCUCUCAUGGUUUCACUAGGGAGGAUAGACCCACCCUAACAUGGUGGCACUAACUCAUGGGUUGGGGUCCACUGAAAGACGAAAGCAAGCUGAGUACUGGCGUCCACUUGUGUUGGCUCCCUGACUGUGGAUACAGCGUAACCAGGCACCUCGUGUUCCUGCUGCUGUGGCUUCUUUGCCAAGAUGGACAAUACCCUCAAGCCGUGAGGCCACAUAAACCCUUCUCCCAUAACGUCCUUUUUGAAGUGUUUUACCGAAACAAUGAGAACCAAAAAUAACCAAAAACCUUCAGGUCAGUAAAGGUUUCCCCCCACUUUAGCGUUGGAGGCGGCCAUCGGCACAUUUUUGGUGUGUCUCCAGCUGAGGACCAGUUGACCAUCCUUACACUGACCUUUGCACUUGAGCUCAGGUGGUGUCACAGAGCCCAAGCUUGAGGCCACACAUACUUGAGAAAUACCUUCCCUAGGGACACAGUACGAUUGAGACAAGAUGUCGUAUUUUAGCAUGUACACGCCAGCUCUGUAAUACGCUGACAAUGUUAAUUAUUGCUGUUCAGGAAGCUAGGGCCAUCUCUUCAGUCUGCAAAGCUUUGUCUGACCAGGACAGAAUGUUCCUUCUUCCUGUUUUCAUUGAAUAAAAAUGCCAUGUCUACACUG
rnacentral:lncRNA from 1 species